CGUGACCCUCUCAGAGCCUAUGAGGCUCUGUCUUCUCUCGGGACUCUUUCUUGGAGUCACCAUUCCUAUCUCCCUGGAUGUAUUGUUAUUCAUAUAUUCACUCAAACAUUGAUCCACUCGUCCACUGGUUUCUUCAUGUUUGUCAGUAUGUAGGGUGGGAGGCAAAGAUGGAGAAAAGUGAGGAUGUAGGGAGGUAGCAAACCAAAGAGGACGGGAGGUUGGAACUUAGAGAGGUAAGGAGGAAGGUAGAUGAGCAUUUCAGCCAGGGGUUUGUGUCUCUGCAUAUAGGUGCAUUUCGUUGCUUUCUUGUAUUCCUGGACUUAUUGCUCUAGGUAUGUCUUGUAGCAACAUUUGCUACAUCAAAGUGUAGCACACAUGACCACCAAAGCCUACAGGGACAGACUAGGCUGUCUCACAGGAGUCUUUCUGCUUUCUAGACAGAUAACAUCUGCAAAGGAAGGAUUAUCUGAGUGCGGCCUGCUGCUCCUGGUGCAACUGAUGUCAGCCUUGGUGCCGCAGCUGGGUAGACAGAAACUCAAGUCCUUUACAGCUUCCUUAUUUCCAGAAAGCUUUGGAGUCAGACAUUCUGGAGAAGGCCUCACUGUAACCUGAACAAUUCAAGGUGAGUGACUCUUUGGUCCUUAACAUGGGCCCCGGAGGACACUGGGCUAUGGAGUAG
rnacentral:lncRNA from 1 species